rnacentral:rRNA from 1 species
CUACGGGAGGCAGCAGUGGGGAAUAUUGCACAAUGGGGGAAACCCUGAUGCAGCGACGCCGCGUGAGUGAAGAAGUAUUUCGGUACGUAAAGCUCUAUCAGCAGGGAAGAAAAUGACGGUACCUGACUAAGAAGCCCCGGCUAACUACGUGCCAGCAGCCGCGGUAAUACGUAGGGGGCAAGCGUUAUCCGGAUUUACUGGGUGUAAAGGGAGCGUAGACGGCAGCGCAAGUCUGGAGUGAAAGGCCGGGGCCCAACCCCGGGACUGCUCUGGAAACUAUUGAACUUGAGUGCAGGAGAGGUAAGCGGAAUUCCUAGUGUAGCGGUGAAAUGCGUAGAUAUUAGGAGGAACACCAGUGGCGAAGGCGGCUUACUGGACUGUAACUGACGUUGAGGCUCGAAAGCGUGGGGAGCAAACAGGAUUAGAUACCCUUGUAGUC